rnacentral:rRNA from 1 species
CUGUGAGGGUUGCUGGAGGUAUCAGAAGUGCGAAUGCUGACAUAAGUAACGAUAAAGCGGGUGAAAAGCCCGCUCGCCGGAAGACCAAGGGUUCCUGUCCAACGUUAAUCGGGGCAGGGUGAGUCGACCCCUAAGGCGAGGCCGAAAGGCGUAGUCGAUGGGAAACGGGUUAAUAUUCCCGUACUUGGUGUUACUGCGAAGGGGGGACGGAGAAGGCUAUGUUGGCCGGGCGACGGUUGUCCCGGUUUAAGCGUGUAGGUGUGUG